CUGCUGCCUCCCGUAGGAGUUUGGGCCGUGUCUCAGUCCCAAUGUGGCCGUCCACCCUCUCAGGCCGGCUACUGAUCGCUGCCUUGGUGGGCCGUUACCCCGCCAACUAGCUAAUCAGACGCGGAUCCAUCGUAUACCACCGGAAUUUUUCACACUGCCCCAUGCGGAGCCGUGCGCUUAUGCGGUAUUAGCACCUAUUUCUAAGUGUUAUCCCCCGGUAUACGGCAGGUUAUCCACGCGUUACUCACCCGUCCGCCA
rnacentral:rRNA from 1 species